rnacentral:ribozyme from 1 species
GCUGCUCGAAACUUUGCACACCUCUCCGUGGUGAGUAGCAGGCAACGAUCUUAUGGUCGGCGAAGAUGUGAGA